UUAUCGGAGAGUUUGAUCCUGGCUCAGGACGAACGCUGGCGGCGUGCCUAAUACAUGCUAGUCGAGCGGAGAGUUGGGAGAUUGCUACCUGA
rnacentral:rRNA from 1 species